AGCUUUGCGCAGAGGUGGUGUCGUACCCAAUGAAGUGAUAACUGAGGGGCGACUAUUGCUAGUUGAAAACUUUUCCCAAUACCACGCCUGGACGACGUGAAAUACCGUCGCCCGCGGCAAUUUUUUGGAAAGACGACAUGAUU
rnacentral:snRNA from 1 species